rnacentral:rRNA from 1 species
UAAACCUGGCGCUGCUUAUGCUGCAGUCGAACGUUCUCUUUGGUAAGGAUAGUGGCGAAGGGUGAGUAACGCGUAAGUAACCUGCCCCUAAGUGGGGAAUAACCUGGGAAACUGGGGCUAAUACCGCAUGUGGUGCUUCAUGAAGGUGAAGGACUAAAGCCUUCGGGUGCUUGGGGAGGGGCUUGCGUCCGAUUAGCUAGUUGGUAGGGUAAUGGCCUACCAAGGCGAUGAUCGGUAGCUGGUUUGAGAGGAUGGUCAGCCACAUUGGGACUGAGAUACGGCCCAGACUCCUACGGGAGGCAGCAGCAAGGAAUUUUGUGCAAUGGGCGAAAGCCUGACACAGCAACGCCGCGUGGGGGAUGAAGGCCAUCGGGUUGUAAACCCUUUCUCAGGGAAGAAUAAUGACGGUACCUGGGAAUAAGCCUCGGCUAACUACGUGCCAGCAGCCGCGGUAAUACGUAGGAGGCGAGCGUUAUCCGGAUUUACUGGGCGUAAAGAGGGCGUAGGCGGCUUGACAAGUCGGAUGUAAAAUCUCCCGGCUCAACUGGGAGGGAUCAUCCGAUACUGUUGGGCUAGAGGGCAGCAGGAGGAGGUGGAAUUCCCGGUGUAGUGGUGAAAUGCGUAGAUAUCGGGAGGAACACCAGUGGCGAAGGCGGCCUCCUGGGCUGUUUCUGACGCUGAGGCCCGAAAGUGUGGGUAGCGAACAGGAUUAGAUACCCUGGUAGUCCACACUGUCAACGAUGGACACUAGGUAUAGGGAGUAUCGACCCUCUCUGUGUCGAAGCUAACGCUUUAAGUGUCCCGCCUGGGGACUACGGCCGCAAGGCUAAAACUCAAAGGAAUUGACGGGGGCCCGCACAAGCAGCGGAGCGUGUGGUUUAAUUCGAUGCAACGCGAAGAACCUUACCAGGCUUGACAUGCCGGAAGUAGCAACCCGAAAGGGGAGCCACCUGUUAAGUCAGGAGCCGUCACAGGUGCUGCAUGGCGUGUCAGCUCGGCCGUGAGGUGUUCGGUUAAGUCCCGCAACGAG